rnacentral:lncRNA from 1 species
UAUAAGAAUUGAUUGUAAGAACUGGGCAUAUAGCUCACAGAAAAAAAGAUUCGGGGUGGGAGUGGGUCAUGAUAGCUGUGUUCAAGUAUUUGAAGGACUGUCCCAUGAAGGAGGGUCUCUACUUGUUCUGUCUGGCCUCAGCAGGCAGAACCAGUAGUAAUGGAAGGGAGUUGCCAAGAGAGUUUGGUGUCAGAAAGCUUCUCAAUGAUUAAUUCUCUCUUGACAACAGAAUACUUUUCCUCCAGAGGAUGGGGAAAGGAGGAGAUUCCUCUUUUUUAGAGAUCUUUAAGCAGAGUCUGGAGAGCCACUUUUAGGGUAUAUUAUAGUAGAGAUUCCUUUUGUGUCUGAGCUAGACUAGUUGGCUGAUUAGGCUCCUUCCUCUGCAUCUGGGAAACUGGGCACUGAUAACCAAUCAAUAAACUUUUAUUGAGCAUUUACUAUGUGCCAGGCAUUGUGUUAAGUUCUAAGAAUACAAAAAGAGGCAAGAAAUAGUUUGCCCUCAGUGAACUUACAUUCUAAUGGGUGAGACAGCAAUCAAAGAAAUAUAUACAAAGUGAGCUAUAUACAGGAUAAAUAGGGAAAGGCCCUGGAAUUAAGAGGGAUUAGGAAAGGCUUCCUGUAGAAGCUGGUCUAAUCCUAGUUGGAAUUUAAGGGAAGCUAGGAAGGUAAGUAGUCAGAGCAUAGGAGGGAAGGCAUUCCAGGCAUGGGGAACAACCAGAAAGAAUACCUAGAACUGAGAUGGAGGGAUAAGCGAGCUUUCAUUCAUCUUUCCCAAAACAGGCCUCCAUAUCACUUUUCAAUCAUCUAUGCACCAUGCCUCCUGCUCCUUAUGUCCAUCCUACUAGAAACUUGGAAUGUACCCCUGGGAAGCUGGGAUCUGAUAGGUGUUAAUGAAAAAAUGCACACAAUCCUGACAGAUGGGACUGGUUCCUGAAGGAGGGACGGCCAGCUCGGUGUUUCAGAGACCACAGGACCAGCUUCCCAUCCAGAGCAAAGUCUGGUAUCCUGGAUCUGGUCCUGCUGGCUACUGGCCAAACCCAGGACAAGAUGUCCUGACACCCUCCUGGAGAAUAACAAGAAAGGAGUUUUUGCGAAUAGAGACAAGGAAGCCAUGCCAAAGACAGAAGAGCCAGAGCUUACUCAGGGGAGAAGCCAGAGACAUAGCUGGAGCAGGAGGUGACAGCACAGAUGCUGAAAGGAUGCCUGAAAAGACAACUGGAGCUGGAGGACUGUGUGCCAGCCACAAGGAGUGGUAAGUUGUUAUGUUGUUUUUGACAUUUUUCUCAGCAAUGGAAAAGGGAGGCCAGAGGGACGUACUGGGUUGGAUCUGGUAGAUGGGCUAGGACAGGUCCUUUCUGGGAUGAUAUAGUUGGGCACUGUAUGAGAGAAAGAAGAGGGAUGGUGAAGAAAGGAAGGGCUAUUCAAGCCCUGGUCCCCAGGCCUUUGCAUCCUCAUCUCACUUCUCCUCACUCCUUCAAUUUAUUCCUUUCCUAUAUCUUCUCUUGGUGAUAGAUACAGGUUUGGGUUCAGGGUGAUCUUAGACCACUUUCUUGGAGAUUCUAGCUUCUCCUUGUAGCUCAUCCAGGGGAUUUUUGCUGUUGGUUCCAGGCCUUUCAACUCAAGAAUUGAAAUGGAUUACUAAACUCUGCAUUUCCUGACUUUCCUAGAAACUGAGUUCAGAGACCUGCCUCUACUGAUCCCUAAUUACCUUCCCCCUCCUUCUUGCCACUAACACUCUGUUGUUCAUGUCCAGCACUCAUUGCCUUUUCUCUUCUCUUCCCUUUAUCCAUAUACUCCACAAACAUUUUCUGAGUUUUGUUUACAAAAGAGAAAAAGAAUUAGGAAAAUUAAGAAAUGAUAAUAUCCAUGAAAGCAAAUUAUCAGUGUACAUAAUACAAAACUGAACCAACUUAGAGCAGAUGGCCCUUUAAUUUCCUUAAAGCAUUGUAUCAAGCUUCAGUUCUGCAGGAACUGACUGGCAUGGCCUGGGCUAGUUCUCUAUAGGUCAGAUUCUGUUCCUUUGUGGUUUUCAGGUGAGAAUGUCCUAGCUCAUCUCUCUCCUUCCCCCAUUCCUGCUGAAUUGGAAUUGUUCCACCUGAAUGCUCUGGCUCAAGCUUUUUCCUCUACGAUUGAUUUUACCAUCCCAAUCUCAUUCACAUUCAAUCAGGAAGCCUCUUCACUGGAUGACAGAAAAUUUCAUAUCAUCUUAAAUUUCAAGCUAGAAGAGACUUAGAGGUCAGGUAAUUUAGUUCUCUU